AACCUCAUCCAAACACCUCCCUCCACCUCUCAUUCCCUCCUCUAUUCCAGCCAUACAACAAAUCUCACCGCAUCAAAAAAAACAUCUCUUAUGCAAAAACUCAUCACUCCCCAUUUCUUCCCCACUUCUCAUCUUCGCCUGCUUUCAAUCUCCUGAAGCUCAGGCUUAAAGUGUUCGUAGUUUACAGCCAUGUCUUGCUCCAAUCUGACAAUGUUGGUGUCGUCAAAACCUUCCCUUUCCAACUCCUCUCUGCUCUCUUUCGGCUCUUCUCUCAACCCGCUGCAGCUCCCCGCCCAGAGCUCCGGCGGCUCCUGCAACCCGUCUAGAUCGUCGUCGGUGGCCCCAAUCCGGUGCGACCUGCGCGAGCUCCGUGAUCGGAUUACGUCGGUGAAGAACACCGGGAAGAUCACGGAGGCCAUGAAGCUGGUGGCGGCGGCUAAAGUGAGGAGAGCCCAGGAAGCCGUGGUGAACGGGCGGCCCUUCUCGGAGACCCUCGUUGAGGUUCUUUACAACAUCAACGAGCAGCUCCAGACGGACGACGCGGAGGUGCCGCUCACGAAGGUCCGCCCGUCAAGAAAGUCGCCCUGGUGGUCGUCACCGGCGACCGUGGCCUCUGCGGCGCGUUCAACAGUAAUAUCCUCAAGAAAGCCGAGGCCAGGAUUGCGGAGCUCAAGGGGCUCGGCGUGGAUUACACGGUGAUUAGCGUGGGAAGAAGGGGAAUACCUAUUUCAUCCGCCGACCUCACAUUCCCGUCGACAGAUUCCUCGACGGCAGCACUCUCCCAACCGCAAAAGACGCCCAGGCAAUCGCCGAUGAUGUCUUUUCCCUCUUCGUGAGCGAAGAGGUCGAUAAAGUCGAGCUUUUGUACACAAAGUUCGUGUCUUUAGUCAAAUCCGAGCCCGUGAUUCACACCUUAGUCCCCCUAUCCCCAAAGGGAGAGAUCUGCGACAUAAACGGCAACUGUGUCGACGCAGCAGAAGACGAGUUCUUCAGGCUGACGACCAAAGAAGGGAAACUGACGGUGGAGAGAGACGUGAGAAGGACUGAAACCCCAGAAUUCUCAUCAAUCUUGGAGUUCGAGCAGGACCCAGUUCAGAUUCUGGACGCCCUGUUGCCUCUCUACUUGAACAGUCAGAUUCUGAGAGCUUUGCAGGAAUCACUAGCCAGCGAGCUGGCUUCCAGGAUGAGUGCGAUGAGCAAUGCCACCGACAACGCUAAAGAGUUGAGGAAGAACCUGUCUACAGCUUACAACAGACAGCGUCAGGCGAAGAUUACCGGAGAAAUCUUGGAGAUUGUUGCUGGAGCCAAUGCCUUGUCUUAAGCAUGCAUGCAUAUAUAAUUAUAUAAAUCCUCCUUGUUUUUCCCCCCCUUCAUUAUAUAUGCUUAUAUAUAGUUGUGUUUAUGGGAGAUUCAUGCUUCGUUUUGAUGCUCUUGUUCAAGAACUGUGAUUCAGAUCAGAGUAGAUAAUUUCUUCUGCAUUUCAUACAAAUAAACUUUGAUUUUUGCUAGAUGUAUGUAUUGAAUGAUUAUGAUAUAUAAGGCCAGACCACUCAUCUGAUCUUUAUAUGUCCAGAUCUUUUACCUUGUAUUUGUAAAACAUGUAAUAAUGAAAGUCAAGUCCCCAAGAUUCAAGUA